UGAGUCUGAGUGCUGGCUCCAGAAGGUGAGCAGCUGCUCAAAUGAGGAGUCCCACUGGUGCCACAAGUACUCCUGUUUUUUUUUACUGAAAUCAGUGUAUGGAUAACUGCUCACCAGAGCUGAGCACGUUCUUGGA